GACGAACGCUGGCGGCGUGCUUAACACAUGCAAGUCGAACGGAAAGGCGCUGCUCUUGUGGGGUGCUCGAGUGGCGAACGGGUGAGUAACACGUGAGUAACCUGCCCUUGAAUUUGGGAUAACUUCAGGAAACUGGGGCUAAUACCGGAUAGGAGCUCCUGCUGCAUGGUGGGGGUUGGAAAGUUUCGGCGGUGUGGGAUGGACUCGCAGCUUAUCAGCCUGUUGGUGGGGUAGUGGCUUACCAAGGCUUUGACGGGUAGGCGGCCUGAGAGGGUGGACGGCCACAUGAGUACUAAGAGACGGCGCAGAAUCCUACGGGAGGCAGCAGUGGAGAAUCUUGCGCAAUGAGCGGAAGCCUGAUACAGCAACGCCGGGUGCGUGAUGACGGCCUUCGGGGGGUAAACCACUUUCGCCUGUGACGAAGCGGGAGUGACGGUAAUGAGUAAAAAAGCACCGGCUAACUACGUG
rnacentral:rRNA from 1 species